UACGUAGGGGGCAAGCGUUGUCCGGAUUCACUGGGCGUAAAGCGUGCGCAGGCGGUUUUGUAAGCCAGAUGUGAAAGCCCCGGGCUUAACCUGGGAAUGGCAUUUGGGACUGCAAAGCUUGAGUGCGGCAGAGGAGACUGGAAUUCCCGGUGUAGCAGUGAAAUGCGUAGAUAUCGGGAGGAAUACCGAUGGCGAAGGCAGGUCUCUGGGCUGACACUGACGCUCAUGCACGAAAGCGUGGGGAGCAAACAGG
rnacentral:rRNA from 1 species